UGAGUAAUGCAUCGGAACGUGCCCAGUAGUGGGGGAUAGCCCGGCGAAAGCCGGAUUAAUACCGCAUACGACCUAAGGGUGAAAGGGGGGGAUCGCAAGACCUCUCGCUAUUGGAGCGGCCGAUGUCAGAUUAGGUAGUUGGUGGGGUAAAAGCCUACCAAGCCGACGAUCUGUAGCUGGUCUGAGAGGACGACCAGCCACACUGGGACUGAGACACGGCCCAGACUCCUACGGGAGGCAGCAGUGGGGAAUUUUGGACAAUGGGCGCAAGCCUGAUCCAGCCAUGCCGCGUGCGGGAAGAAGGCCUUCGGGUUGUAAACCGCUUUUGUCAGGGAAGAAAUCUUCUGGGUUAAUACCUCGGGAGGAUGACGGUACCUGAAGAAUAAGCACCGGCUAACUACGUGCCAGCAGCCGCGGUAAUACGUAGGGUGCGAGCGUUAAUCGGAAUUACUGGGCGUAAAGCGUGCGCAGGCGGUUAUGCAAGACAGAUGUGAAAUCCCCGGGCUCAACCUGGGAACUGCAUUUGUGACUGCAUAGCUGGAGUGCGGCAGAGGGGGAUGGAAUUCCGCGUGUAGCAGUGAAAUGCGUAGAUAUGCGGAGGAACACCGAUGGCGAAGGCAAUCCCCUGGGCCUGCACUGACGCUCAUGCACGAAAGCGUGGGGAGCGAAAGGGAUUAGAUACCCCUGUAGUCCUAGCCGU
rnacentral:rRNA from 1 species